AUAAACAACGAGGCUUAUGAUUUCCUGAAAAGCUUGGCUGGUGCCAAAAUCAUUCUCAUACUCAAUUAUCAGGGAUACCUUGGCCUAAGGCUAUCCUAAUCGAGUCCGCCAAGGCUGUUAAAAAGUUAUGUACGCAUAAAUCAUGUUUUUAUUUUGAAAACAUAGCCAUUCCUUGACGUUGGCUGAGUUCACCCUCAUGUGGUAGUUUGGAGUGAAGGUUGUACCUCAGGAGUUACCCUACGCACCUCCCCAAUCGAGGUAAGAAUAUAACAGGAUUACGUGCCCCUCAAAAAGGUUGGUCCACAAAACCCGCCCACUGCAACAAGUUAAACCCACCAUACAAUAAAAUUUGCAAUAGCAUGACAUAGAAAUUAUUUUAUUUUACAGCCUCUCAAGGAAAAUCAAUAGUUCAUACAUUUUCAGCACAUUUACCAAUUCAACCAUUCAUGCCAAUAUUAUCAUAAGCCAUUCAAUUCAAACCAUGAUUUAUAACACAGCAAUUAGUGUCCAAUUACUUCAUUUUCAAAACCAUCUUUCAAUUUCAAGACAAUUUUAUAAAAUCAUUUCAUUUAAUCACAUUUUUGCUUAUAAAACAUAAAGAUUUACCAUUUAAACUCAUUUUCCAUAAAAUCACAAAAAUGAAUUAAAAUUCACUUUAGAUAAUCAAGAUGAUGAUAAGGUUAUUCACUGUAUCAGGAGUUUGAAAUACUUCUAUUCUCAGUCCUCUGACACAACGUCUUUACCCUUGUUAGAGAGCUCACCACCUAUAUACAAUACACGACACAUAAUUCAAUAUAUUGUGUCAUACCAUUAUAAAUCUAUUUCAGACUCUUUACUAAUGCAUGAAAUGGGAUGUGAAAUGCUCGAGUAACCAUCUAAAUACGGUGUUCAAUAUAAGUUCAAUUGUGUACCUAACUAAAAUGGUAUCGGCCUAAUUCGAUCUAUCACCCGAUUAAUUGGCCAAUACGUCCAAUUCAACUCCAAAUAAUUUCAUUUUUCUCCCAAUACUCCAAAUCAUCAAACAUAAGUCAAAUAGCAUAAAAUUUAGCAAAAAUCAUCUUCACAUUUUCUCUUGGGAAUUUCGGCCAUGGUGGGUGCAUCAAUACUAUGAUUUUUCCUACUUGAUUUUCUCACCGUAAUUCAUCAUUUCCUAACCAAUUCACUUGAAAUAAAAUCAAAAUCAUCAUCAAUAUUCUACAUGGAGAAUUCGGCCAAUGAGGGUUAUGGAAGAACAUGAAUUUUUCUUGCUUGAUUUUCAUGCUACACAUCACCAAUCAACUAAAAACACUAGAAUAUCUUAAAAUCUAACCAAAACAAUCAUCAAAAUCUCUCUCUAAGUGUUCAGCCAGCAAAAUACCCAUCAUGAAAUCAUGUGAUUCAACCAUGAAAAAUGCAAAAGAAUGUAUGGGAAAGGUAGAUCACAAGUCAAAAUCAAGAAAUUUUACCUUUGAUUGCUUGAUACUUGAAAUCCACGAAUUUUCUCUUGAAUUUUCACUCUAGGGUUUUUGUUCUUUCUUUUCUUCCUUUGUUCGUGCUUUGGCCGGC
rnacentral:lncRNA from 1 species